rnacentral:lncRNA from 1 species
GUGGCCGGGCAGCGUCCACGCAGCCUGAAAGGGGAGAUUUUCAUAUUAGUUUAGAGGCUCCUCACUUAAAGAUUUCAUCAGCAUUUGCGAGUGUUCGCCAUUCAAGGACUGUGCAUUUCUGGAAACAAUGAAAAGCCAAAACUGUGAAAAAUUAAGGAGUGGCCCUGAAGCUGGUGUCUGUAACUGCACAUUUUAAAGUGAACAGACUGAUAUAAAUAUUUUAAUCCUGUGCCUAGAUAGAUGGAUAAGAUAAAAUAAAUUAGUCAUGUUCUGGCCCAGUCUGGAGACUAUCUGAAAGCAAGACAAAUGUCAGCAUUUGCUGUUUAGGGGUUACAAUUAAAAUCUCUCCUUCUAGAUUGAGCUUCUAGAGCCUCAGAGAUGGAAUUCGCCGUUUUGCCGCGAUUUGGCGUUAACUUAUUGACCCAUGGGGAGGAGGGUCACUUCCCGUGAAAAGAAGGCAGAGAUGUUUUGCUGUGCCCAGUGUGAGGAAGCGAAGGAAAAGAAAGAUCUUUUGAAAAUGUGUACAUCUACUUGCAGCUUGAAAAUUCCAAGUGCCAGACAUUUUUCUUGGAGGAAAUAAAUGUCUUCAAUUUAU